rnacentral:rRNA from 1 species
UACGGGGGGGGCAAGCGUUGUUCGGAUUUACUGGGCGUAAAGGGCUCGUAGGCGGCCAACUAAGUCGGAUGUGAAAUCCCCAGGCUUAACCUGGGAACUGCAUCCGAUACUGGAUGGCUUGAAUCCGGGAGAGGGGUGCAGAAUUCCAGGUGUAGCGGUGAAAUGCGUAGAUAUCUGGAGGAAUACCGGUGGCGAAGGCGGCAUCCUGGACCGGCAUUGACGCUGAGGAGCGAAAGCUAGGGGAGCAAACGGG